CCUACGGGUGGCAGCAGUGAGGAAUAUUGGUCAAUGGGCGGGAGCCUGAACCAGCCAAGUCGCGUGAGGGAAGACGGUCCUACGGAUUGUAAACCUCUUUUGCCGGGGAGCAACGGGGUCCUUGCGAGGGCCCGAUGAGAGUACCCGGCGAAAAAGCAUCGGCUAACUCCGUGCCAGCAGCCGCGGUAAUACGGAGGAUGCGAGCGUUAUCCGGAUUUACUGGGUGUAAAGGGCGCGCAGGCGGCACGCUAAGCCUGAUGUGAAAACCCGCGGCCCAACCGCGGGAGUGCAUUGGGAACUGGCGGGCUGGAGUACCGGAGGGGCAGGCGGAAUUCCUAGUGUAGCGGUGAAAUGCGUAGAUAUUAGGAGGAACACCAGUGGCGAAGGCGGCCUGCUGGACGGAGACUGACGCUGAGGCUCGAAAGCGUGGGGAGCAAACAGGAUUAGAUACCCCUGUAGUC
rnacentral:rRNA from 1 species